AAUGAACGUUGGCGGCAUGGAUUAGGCAUGCAAGUCGGGGGAAUCCCAGCAAUGGGGGAACCGGCGUAAGGGGCAGUAAGGCAUGGGUACCUACCUUGGGGUUCGGGAUAGCCAUCAGAGAUGGUGGGUAAUACCGGAUGACGUCGUGAGACCAAAGAUUUAUCGCCCUUAGAGGGGCCCAUGUGAUAUUAGCUAGUUGGUGGGGUAACGGCCCACCAAGGCGAAGAUGUCUAGCGGGUGUGGGAGCACGACCCGCGCCACCCGCACUGAGACACUGGCGAGACACCUACGGGUGGCUGCAGUCGAGGAUCUUCGGCAAUGAGCGCAAGCUUGACCGAGCGAUGCCGCGUGAGCGAUGAAGGCCUUCGGGUUGUAAAGCUCUUUAGUGGGGGAGAAAAGCCGCAAGGUGUGAUCUAUCCCAAAAAUAAGCACGGGCUAAGUUCGUGCCAGCAGCCGCCGUAA
rnacentral:rRNA from 1 species